rnacentral:rRNA from 1 species
CCUUUGACGUUAGCGGCGGACGGGUGAGUAACACGUGGGUAACCUACCUAUAAGACUGGGAUAACUUCGGGAAACCGGAGCUAAUACCGGAUAAUAUUUCGAACCGCAUGGUUCGAUAGUGAAAGGUGGUUUUGCUAUCACUUAUAGAUGGACCCGCGCCGUAUUAGCUAGUUGGUAAGGUAACGGCUUACCAAGGCGACGAUACGUAGCCGACCUGAGAGGGUGAUCGGCCACACUGGAACUGAGACACGGUCCAGACUCCUACGGGAGGCAGCAGGU